rnacentral:rRNA from 1 species
CCUACGGGAGGCAGCAGUGAGGAAUAUUGGUCAAUGGACGAGAGUCUGAACCAGCCAAGUAGCGUGAAGGAUGACUGCCCUAUGGGUUGUAAACUUCUUUUAUAUGGGAAUAAAACGUUCCACGUGUGGGAUUUUGUAUGUACCAUAUGAAUAAGGAUCGGCUAACUCCGUGCCAGCAGCCGCGGUAAUACGGAGGAUCCGAGCGUUAUCCGGAUUUAUUGGGUUUAAAGGGAGCGUAGGUGGAUUGUUAAGUUAGUGGUGAAAGUGUGAGGCUCAACCGUAAAAUUGCAGUUGAAACUGGCAGUCUUGAGUAUAGUAGAGGUGGGCGGAAUGCGUGGUGUAGCGGUGAAAUGCUUAGAGAUCACGAAGAACUCCGAUUGCGAAGGCAGUUCACUGGACUGCAACUGACACUGAGGCUCGAAAGCGUGGGUAUCAAACAGGAUUAGAUACCCUAGUAGUC